GUAACCUGCCCUUAACUCUGGGAUAAGCCUGGGAAACUGGGUCUAAUACCGGAUAGGAGCGUCCACCGCAUGGUGGGUGUUGGAAAGAUUUAUCGGUUUUGGAUGGACUCGCGGCCUAUCAGCUUGUUGGUGAGGUAAUGGCUCACCAAGGCGACGACGGGUAGCCGGCCUGAGAGGGUGACCGGCCACACUGGGACUGAGACACGGCCCAGACUCCUACGGGAGGCAGCAGUGGGGAAUAUUGCACAAUGGGCGCAAGCCUGAUGCAGCGACGCCGCGUGAGGGAUGACGGCCUUCGGGUUGUAAACCUCUUUCAGUAGGGAAGAAGCGAAAGUGACGGUACCUGCAGAAGAAGCACCGGCUAACUACGUGCCAGCAGCCGCGGUAAUACGUAGGGUGCGAGCGUUAUCCGGAAUUAUUGGGCGUAAAGAGCUCGUAGGCGGUUUGUCGCGUCUGUCGUGAAAGUCCGGGGCUUAGCCCCGGAUCUGCGGUGGGUACGGUCAGACUAGAGUGCAGUAGGGGAGA
rnacentral:rRNA from 1 species